rnacentral:rRNA from 1 species
AGUGAACGCUGGCGGUAGGCCUAACACAUGCAAGUCGAACGGCAGCACAGUAAGAGCUUGCUCUUACGGGUGGCGAGUGGCGGACGGGUGAGGAAUACAUCGGAAUCUACUUUUUCGUGGGGGAUAACGUAGGGAAACUUACGCUAAUACCGCAUACGACCUACGUGUGAAAGCAGGGGAUCUUCGGACCUUGCGCGAUUGAAUGAGCCGAUGUCGGAUUAGCUAGUUGGCGGGGUAAAGGCCCACCAAGGCGACGAUCCGUAGCUGGUCUGAGAGGAUGAGAGGCGAGACUGGGACGAAGAGACGGCCCAGACGCAGACGGGAGGCAGCAGAAGGGAAUCGUCGGCAAUGGACGAAAGUCUGACAGAGCAACGACGAGUGAGUGAAGAAGGUGGUGGUAUCGUAAAGCGCGGUUGUAAGAGAAGAACGGGUGUGAGAGUGGAAAGUUCACACUGUGACGGUAGGUUACAAGAAAGGGACGGAGAACUACGUG